CACUAUCGUUAACUGAAUACAUAGGUUAACGAGGCGAACCGGGGGAACUGAAACAUCUAAGUACCCCGAGGAAAAGAAAUCAACCGAGAUUCCCCCAGUAGCGGCGAGCGAACGGGGAGCAGCCCAGAGUCUGAAUCAGCUUGUGUGUUAGUGGAACGGUCUGGAAAGUCCGACGGUACAGGGUGAUAGUCCCGUACACCAAAAUGCACAGGCUGUGAACUCGAAGAGUAGGGCGGGACACGUGGUAUCCUGUCUGAAUAUGGGGGGACCAUCCUCCAAGGCUAAAUACUCCUGACUGACCGAUAGUGAACCAGUACCGUGAGGGAAAGGCGAAAAGAACCCCGGCGAGGGGAGUGAAAAAGAACCUGAAACCGUGUACGUACAAGCAGUGGGAGCACCUUCGGGUGUGACUGCGUACCUUUUGUAUAAUGGGUCAGCGACUUAUAUUCUGUAGCAAGGUUAACCGUAUAGGGGAGCCGCAGGGAAACCGAGUCUUAACUGGGCGUUAAGUUGCAGGGUAUAGACCCGAAACCCGGUGAUCUAGCCAUGGGCAGGUUGAAGGUUGGGUAACACUAACUGGAGGACCGAACCGACUAAUGUUGAAAAAUUAGCGGAUGACUUGUGGCUGGGGGUGAAAGGCCAAUCAAACCGGGAGAUAGCUGGUUCUCCCCGAAAGCUAUUUAGGUAGCGCCUCGUGAACUCAUCUUCGGGGGUAGAGCACUGUUUCGGCUAGGGGGUCAUCCCGACUUACCAACCCGAUGCAAACUACGAAUACCGAAGAAUGUUAUCACGGGAGACACACGGCGGGUGCUAACGUCCGUCGUGAAGAGGGAAACAACCCAGACCGCCAGCUAAGGUCCCAAAGUCAUGGUUAAGUGGGAAACGAUGUGGGAAGGCACAGACAGCCAGGAUGUUGGCUUAGAAGCAGCCAUCAUUUAAAGAAAGCGUAAUAGCUCACUGGUCGAGUCGGCCUGCGCGGAAGAUGUAACGGGGCUAAACCAUGCACCGAAGCUGCGGCAGCGACACUAUGUGUUGUUGGGUAGGGGAGCGUUCUGUAAGCCUGCGAAGGUGUGCUGUGAGGCAUGCUGGAGGUAUCAGAAGUGCGAAUGCUGACAUAAGUAACGAUAAAGCGGGUGAAAAGCCCGCUCGCCGGAAGACCAAGGGUUCCUGUCCAACGUUAAUCGGGGCAGGGUGAGUCGACCCCUAAGGCGAGGCCGAAAGGCGUAGUCGAUGGGAAACAGGUUAAUAUUCCUGUACUUGGUGUUACUGCGAAGGGGGGACGGAGAAGGCUAUGUUAGCCGGGCGACGGUUGUCCCGGUUUAAGCAUGUAGGCUGGUUGUCCAGGCAAAUCCGGAUAAUCAAGGCUGAGGUGUGAUGACGAGGCACUACGGUGCUGAAGUAACAAAUGCCCUGCUUCCAGGAAAAGCCUCUAAGCAUCAGGUAACAUCAAAUCGUACCCCAAACCGACACAGGUGGUCAGGUAGAGAAUACCAAGGCGCUUGAGAGAACUCGGGUGAAGGAACUAGGCAAAAUGGUGCCGUAACUUCGGGAGAAGGCACGCUGGUGUGUAGGUGAAGUCCCUGCGGAUGGAGCUGAGACCAGUCGAAGAUACCAGCUGGCUGCAACUGUUUAUUAAAAACACAGCACUGUGCAAACACGAAAGUGGACGUAUACGGUGUGACGCCUGCCCGGUGCCGGAAGGUUAAUUGAUGGGGUUAUCCGUAAGGAGAAGCUCUUGAUCGAAGCCCCGGUAAACGGCGGCCGUAACUAUAACGGUCCUAAGGUAGCGAAAUUCCUUGUCGGGUAAGUUCCGACCUGCACGAAUGGCGUAAUGAUGGCCAGGCUGUCUCCACCCGAGACUCAGUGAAAUUGAACUCGCUGUGAAGAUGCAGUGUACCCGCGGCAAGACGGAAAGACCCCGUGAACCUUUACUAUAGCUUGACACUGAACAUUGAGCCUUGAUGUGUAGGAUAGGUGGGAGGCUUUGAAGCGUGGACGCCAGUCUGCGUGGAGCCAACCUUGAAAUACCACCCUUUAAUGUUUGAUGUUCUAACGUUGGCCCCUGACCGGGGUUGCGGACAGUGUCUGGUGGGUAGUUUGACUGGGGCGGUCUCCUCCCAAAGCGUAACGGAGGAGCACGAAGGUUAGCUAAUCCUGGUCGGACAUCAGGAGGUUAGUGCAAUGGCAUAAGCUAGCUUGACUGCGAGCGUGACGGCGCGAGCAGGUGCGAAAGCAGGUCAUAGUGAUCCGGUGGUUCUGAAUGGAAGGGCCAUCGCUCAACGGAUAAAAGGUACUCCGGGGAUAACAGGCUGAUACCGCCCAAGAGUUCAUAUCGACGGCGGUGUUUGGCACCUCGAUGUCGGCUCAUCACAUCCUGGGGCUGAAGUAGGUCCCAAGGGUAUGGCUGUUCGCCAUUUAAAGUGGUACGCGAGCUGGGUUUAGAACGUCGUGAGACAGUUCGGUCCCUAUCUGCCGUGGGCGCUGGAGAAUUGAGGGGGGCUGCUCCUAGUACGAGAGGACCGGAGUGGACGCAUCACUGGUGUUCGGGUUGUCAUGCCAAUGGCACUGCCCGGUAGCUAAAUGCGGAAGAGAUAAGUGCUGAAAGCAUCUAAGCACGAAACUUGCCCCGAGAUGAGUUCUCCCUGAGACUUUAAGUCUCCUGAAGGAACGUU
rnacentral:rRNA from 1 species